GGCGUAGGUGGAUCUCUGUGAGUUUGAGGCCAGUUGGGUCAAUAUAGUGAGUUCAAGGCCAGCCAGGGCUACGCGCUAAGAGACCACUGUCUCAGAGAAAAGAAAAAAGUAGAAAAAUCAUAAUUUUCUUGAGCCAAAGAAGUGAUCACAUUUGUUGGCGAUGGAUUGGAAACCAUGACGAGAUGAGAGAUGUUGGGAUCUAUUUAUUACCCAGUGGAAUUAUUUCUGAGUAUGAUGUGGUUUGUGCCAAGUGUAUGUCUCCUCCCAGAAUUCAAGCCUUUUAGGAAACAGAUGUAAGCAACUUUCCAUUCAUGUCCGUAAGAGUUUGUUCCUCAAGGUAAAAGGCCUUUGUGAACCCUCCUUGUUAUGCAAGAUCCGGGGCCUCUUUCCUAGCUCCUAUUUCAGCAUUUGGAGCCACGGAGGAGUCUGUGACAAAGAAGGAGGGUGAAGGGGAGGUUAGCACCCUUGUGCCUACAGACUCUCCUUAGCAGAGCUCUGGAGUGUGACAAUGGUGUUUGUGUCCA
rnacentral:lncRNA from 1 species